rnacentral:piRNA from 1 species
UGAUUUCUAAUUGUGUUCUUACUUUGUAG